UUAGCUCAUAUUUGUAUGGAAUGGGAUCGUUUGCGUACGUUUGCCGCUAGGGGCGCUGCUCCAACUGCAUACAAAGUUGGAUUA
rnacentral:pre_miRNA from 1 species